rnacentral:lncRNA from 1 species
CUAAGCUUAUUAUUCUGAGUUUGAACACUGGAUUCGUAUGGCUAACGUCAGUGAAUCAAGGAUCCCAGGGGAUGCCAAUGGCAGGGCACCUCAGUUGUGUAUAUGUGGGGAAAUCAAAUGCUACCUGACUCACAUCUGUAUCACUCAGAAACAUUAUGUAAAAAAUAUCAAAGCAAGAUAAGCAGAUGUGUGAUCCACUACCGCCAAAGCAAAUACUCCUUAUCGUUAGUGUCCAUGUGAAUGAAGUCCUAUAUAGAUCACAAAUUUUUAUAGACAAAUCUAAGACAUUGAAUUAUUUCUUCUAUAUAUAUGAUACUUUGGUGUACUGUGAUCUUGCUGCUUUUAUCCAUAUGUCAGCUUUGGUUCUUGUGAGUUUACCUGCUUAUUAUGAUACUUGGAGUCCAUUCAUAGUGUGGGGAAGAAUGAUUUUUGCCCUGCAGGAGAAGGUCUAAUUGAAAUAAUGCUGCUUGUCCCCAAAGAAAUUGUUUGCCUUGUACUCUUGUUAACCUUAGAGCUAGACCUGGGAAUGAUUCAACUUCAAGCCUUAACCUGGAAUUUUCUGGAUUUGAGGGAAUUCCCAAGCCUAUGAUCUUUUUCACAUUUUCUUUUUCUUAUAUGAAUUUUCUUUUCUCUCUUUUCUGGUGAUAGUCUUUAAAAAUAGAGAUUGACAGUGUAUCAUAGGAUUACCCUCUAAGUGUGAAAAUGUGUAAUUAUGUACGGUAUUUAGAAAAAGCCCUUAUGUGUCCAUUUUGUCAACUGAAUACAUUUAGAUUCACUGGGAAAGUCAGAGAAAUUUAUUCUUUAGUAUCAAAUCAAACCGAGGCUUUUGCCAUCUUUGGAAGAAAAGAUUAUUCAUAACCCAAUGCACAAAGGUUUAAUUUGAGCUGCUGCAUACGUCACCAAGGGGACACUAGGUGAGGCCUUCAAAUGAUUACUACAAGUCUGUGGCCUGAGGUUAUUUUAAAAUUAACAAUUUCGCAUAUAGCCUAUAUGACAACAGAGUGUUUAUAUUUUAUACAAAUAUCUGCUAAACAUGCACACAUAUACUCACACACACAUAUAUAUAUUAGAUGAAAUGUUUUAUUUAUGUAUAAAACAUAUACAUAUAAAACAUUUAUAUAUAUGGCUUUAUUCCACAGGGCACAGUGGCUGUAUAGCCUCAAAAUUUUAAUAUAAAAAAGUGUAUGCAUAUAUACACACACAAACAUGCACAAAUUAUUUAACUUAUUUUGGGUUAAAAUAUAUUUUGAAUGACAAUAUAUGGAGUAGCAAAAACAGUUAAAAUGACUUCUCUUUAAGAGUUAUCCAGAAAAUUAAUUGUAUUAGGUCAAAAUGCCCUUUAUUUCACAGGUCUGUAAGUUAAGGCUAUGGUUGCUCUAUUACCAUAUGCCAAUCAAUACUUUAACUGCAUUCUGUGACAGACUGUUAAUAUGAGGACUGCAGACACCAAGUGGCUCUCCUUUGCAGUGUUUAUGAAUUACAUGCAUUUGAGCUAUCAAUUUUUUUUUCUUUUUUCUCAGGUGGAGUGAAGCUGACAGUACAGUAGAUUUGGAGAGUAAUACAAAUCCUUUCUUUCUGGUUAGAACACACUGCCAAAAGCCAUCUCUUUCAUCUAAGGAAAAGAUUAAAAAUGCAUGUUGAUAUCUCCUAACUAUCACACAACUUCCACUAUUACAAUGAAAAAUCUGUUCCCCUUUCAUUGCCUCUGAAAACUCUUUGACGAGUAGAUUUCAAAAACAGAGAUUUUAAAAAUUUGCUUGCUUUACUGGUGAAGGACAUUUGCAUUUUUUUUUUUUAUUUAUUUAAAGGAAUUAGUUUGUUCUCCUGGCUCAUUCCUCUUUGUUACUUUCUGUUCCAAUACACAGAAAGCUUGAUCAUCUUUGAUCAGCAGAAAUAUCUUUUAUUUAGCAAAGCUCAACUUCCCAAGAGUUAUGCAUGGUGUGCCUAUCUGAAGGUGGUGUUAGCUCUGUUGAAAUGCCUGGGUCUGAGUAACUGUCAUGAUUUUUAUGAUUAAAAACAGACUCUUCAUCAAGAAUAAUGACUAAUUCUAAUUGGUCUUUGUGAUAUGUAAGAUAACUCAUAAAUGAAUUGCAAUGGAUUUUAUUUCGAAUUAACUAUAUAUUUAUCAAAGAGGAACUGGCAGCAAGGGUUUGGAGAAUAUUUUUAGGUACCAAAUAGCAUAGUGAGGAUUCAACCAAAAGAUGAAUUUAUAAGCAGCAGUGCCCAUCACCUAAGUGUUUUAACUAACAGGUUUUAAAAACAUUUUAUUUACACAAAAUAUCAGGGCUGGAUACCUUUUAAAGAGGAGGCUCAAGUAUCGGGCUGUCAUUUCCAAUAGAUCUGACCUUUUCUUCAGAUACAUAAGCAUUAUUUUCUCUGUUUAGGUCCAAGGAAAAACAAAAGGUAAAGGAAAUAAAGGGAAUAUACAUAAGGCAAA